AAUAAGUGUAGCCAUGGUUUUUCACACCCAACUUUAAUCGUUCGUCUUAUUUAAAAAAAAUUUAAAAAAAUUAAAAACAUAAGUCACGAGUAAAGUACUAUUCAUGUUUUAUCAUCUCAUAACAACAAAAAUGCUAAUUAUAAAAAAAAUUAAAUAAGACAGAUGAUCAAAGUUAGGCACGAAAACUCAUGACCACUUAUU
rnacentral:pre_miRNA from 1 species